AGCGAACGCUGGCGGCAGGCCUAACACAUGCAAGUCGAACGAACCCUUCGGGGUUAGUGGCGGACGGGUGAGUAACACGUGGGAACGUGCCUUUAGGUUCGGAAUAACUCAGGGAAACUUGUGCUAAUACCGAAUGUGCCCUUCGGGGGAAAGAUUUAUCGCCUUUAGAGCGGCCCGCGUCUGAUUAGCUAGUUGGUGAGGUAAUGACUCACCAAGGCUACGAUCAGUAGCUGGUCUGAGAGGAUGACCAGCCACAUUGGGACUGAGACACGGCCCAAACUCCUACGGGAGGCAGCAGUGGGGAAUCUUGCGCAAUGGGCGAAAGCCUGACGCAGCCAUGCCGCGUGGAUGAUGAAGGUCUUAGGAUUGUAAAAUCCUUUCACCGGUGAAGAUAAUGACUGUAGCCGGAGAAGGAGCCCCGGCUAACUUCGUGCCAGCCGCCGCGGUAACAC
rnacentral:rRNA from 1 species